GACAGAGGGUGCAAACGUUGUUCGGAAUUACUGGGCGUAAAGCGCGUGUAGGCUGCUCAGAAAGUCGGAUGUGAAAGCCCUGGGCUUAACCUAGGAAGUGCAUUCGAAACUUCUGAACUGGAGUCCUGGAGAGGAAGGCGGAAUUCUCGGUGUAGAGGUGAAAUUCGUAGAUAUCGAGAGGAACACCAGUGGCGAAGGCGGCCUUCUGGACAGUGACUGACGCUGAGACGCGAAAGCGUGGGGAGCAAACAGG
rnacentral:rRNA from 1 species